rnacentral:rRNA from 1 species
UACAUGCAAGUCGAGCGGACAGAUGGGAGCUUGCUCCCUGAUGUUAGCGGCGGACGGGUGAGUAACACGUGGGUAACCUGCCUGUAAGACUGGGAUAACUCCGGGAAACCGGGGCUAAUACCGGAUGGUUGUUUGAACCGCAUGGUUCAGACAUAAAAGGUGGCUUCGGCUACCACUUACAGAUGGACCCGCGGCGCAUUAGCUAGUUGGUGAGGUAACGGCUCACCAAGGCGACGAUGCGUAGCCGACCUGAGAGGGUGAUCGGCCACACUGGGACUGAGACACGGCCCAGACUCCUACGGGAGGCAGCAGUAGGGAAUCUUCCGCAAUGGACGAAAGUCUGACGGAGCAACGCCGCGUGAGUGAUGAAGGUUUUCGGAUCGUAAAGCUCUGUUGUUAGGGAAGAACAAGUGCCGUUCAAAUAGGGCGGCACCUUGACGGUACCUAACCAGAAAGCCACGGCUAACUACGUGCCAGCAGCCGCGGUAAUACGUAGGUGGCAAGCGUUGUCCGGAAUUAUUGGGCGUAAAGGGCUCGCAGGCGGUUUCUUAAGUCUGAUGUGAAAGCCCCCGGCUCAACCGGGGAGGGUCAUUGGAAACUGGGGAACUUGAGUGCAGAAGAGGAGAGUGGAAUUCCACGUGUAGCGGUGAAAUGCGUAGAGAUGUGGAGGAACACCAGUGGCGAAGGCGACUCUCUGGUCUGUAACUGACGCUGAGGAGCGAAAACGUGGGGAGCGAACACGAUUAUAUACCCUGGUAGUCCACGCC